rfam:Daphnia pulex DAPPTscaffold_150_Cont5942, whole genome shotgun sequence.
UCCCAUAUGGUCUAGUGGCUAGGAUACCUUGCUUUCACCCAGGAGGCUCGGGUACGAUUCCGGGUAUGGGAA